rnacentral:rRNA from 1 species
GACGAACGCUGGCGGCGUGCCUAAUACAUGCAAGUAGAACGCACAGUUUAUACCGUAGCUUGCUACACCAUAGACUGUGAGUUGCGAACGGGUGAGUAACGCGUAGGUAACCUGCCUGGUAGCGGGGGAUAACUAUUGGAAACGAUAGCUAAUACCGCAUAAUAUUAAUUAUUGCAUGAUAAUUAAUUGAAAGGUGCAAUUGCACCACUACCAGAUGGACCUGCGUUGUAUUAGCUAGUAGGUGAGGUAACGGCUCACCUAGGCGACGAUACAUAGCCGACCUGAGAGGGUGAUCGGCCACACUGGGACGGAGACACGGCCCAGACUCCUACGGGAGGCAGCAGUAGGGAAUCUUCGGCAAUGGACGAAAGUCUGACCGAGCAACGCCGCGUGAGUGAAGAAGGUUUUCGGAUCGUAAAGCUCUGUUGUAAGAGAAGAACGGGUGUGAGAGUGGAAAGUUCACACUGUGACGGUAUCUUACCAGAAAGAGACGGCUAACUACGUG